rnacentral:rRNA from 1 species
GACGAACGCUGGCGGCGUGCCUAACACAUGCAAGUCGAACGAGGUCCAUGCAGUGGCAACACUGCGGAAGACCUAGUGGCGAACGGGUGAGUAACACGUGAGGAACCUGCCCCGAAGACCGGGAUAACCCUCCGAAAGGAGAGCUAAUACCGGAUACCCCCACCUGGUCGCAUGGCCGGGUGAGGAAAUGGAUUCCGCUUCGGGAGGGCCUCGCGGCCUAUCAGCUAGUUGGUGAGGUAACGGCUCACCAAGGCAUCGACGGGUAGCUGGUCUGAGAGGACGAUCAGCCACACUGGGACUGAGACACGGCCCAGACUCCUACGGGAGGCAGCAGUGGGGAAUCUUGCGCAAUGGGCGAAAGCCUGACGCAGCAACGCCGCGUGGGGGAUGAAGGCUCUCGGGUUGUAAACCCCUUUCAGCAGGGACGAAAUUGACGGUACCUGCAGAAGAAGCCCCGGCUAACUAC